rnacentral:rRNA from 1 species
AAAGGGGGGCCUCUGGCGGUUAGCUUAGGCAAAGCUGCUGGAGGCCGCAGAGAAAUGGCUCUUCCAACUGUUUAACAAAAACACAGGUCUCUGCUAAGUCGAAAGACGAAGUAUAGGGGCUGACGCCUGCCCAGUGCUGGAAGGUUAAGGGGAGAGGUUAGGGGUAACCCGAAGCUUUGAGCCGAAGCCCCAGUGAACGGCGGCCGUAACUAUAACGGUCCUAAGGUAGCGAAAUUCCUUGUCGGGUAAGCUCCGACCCGCACGAAUGGCGUAAUGAGAGGAGCACUGUCUCAACGAGGGACUCGGCGAACAUUGAAGGACGUGUGAAGAUACACGUGACCCGCAGCGGGACAAAAAGACCCCGUGAAGCUUUACUACAACUUGCCAUUGAGUUAGGGCUAAGCCUGUGUAGCAUAGGUGGGAGGCUUUGAAGCUGGGACGCCAGUCUCGGUGGAGCCACCGUUGAAAUACCACCCUGGUUUAUUCUUGGCUCUAACCUGUCGCCGUUAUCCGGCAUGGGAACAGUGGCUGGUGGGUAGUUUGACUGGGGCGGUCGCCUCCGAAAGCGUAGCAGAGGCGCCCAAAGGUUCCCUCAGGCUGAAUGGAAACCAGCCGUUGAGUGUAAAGGCACAAGGGAGCUUGACUGAAAGACCUACAAGUCGCGCAGGGACGAAAGUCGGGCUUAGUGAUCCCACGGUUCAGAGUGGAAUGGCCGUGGCUUACCGGAUAAAAGCUACUCCGGGGAUAACAGGGUAGUCUGGUCCAAGAGUUCAUAUCGACGACCAGGUUCGCCACCUCGAUGUCGGCUCAUCACAUCCUGGGGCUGGAUAGGGUCCCAAGGGUUGGGCUGUUCGCCCAUUAAAGUGGUACGUGAGCUGGGUUCAGACCGUCGUGAGACAGGUCGGUCUCUAUCCGCUGUGGGCGUAAGGGAUUUGAGAGAAGCUGCCCCUAGUACGAGAGGACCGGGGUGGACGGACCUCUAGUGUGCCAGUUGUUCUGCCAAGAGCAUUGCUGGGUAGCUACGUCCGGCAGAGAUAACCGCUGAAAGCAUCUAAGUGGGAAACUCGUCUCAAGAUUAGAUCCCUCCUCUUUAUGAGAUAAGACCGCUGGAAGACUACCAGCUUGAUAGGCGGCAGGUGUAAGCAUAGUAAUAUGUUCAGCUUAGCCGUACUAAUGGUCGAAAGGCUUACAUUG